UUUUCGGAUGGAAGCUUGUAAACUUAGUGGCGGACGGGUGAGUAACACGUGAGCAACCUGCCUAUCAGAGGGGGACAACAGUUGGAAACGACUGCUAAUACCGCAUGACACAUUGGGGUCGCAUGGCCUUGAUGUCAAAGAUUUAUCGCUGAAAGAUGGCCUCGCGUCUGAUUAGCUAGUUGGUGAGGUAACGGCCCACCAAGGCGACGAUCGGUAGCCGGACUGAGAGGUUGAACGGCCACAUUGGGACUGAGACACGGCCCAGACUCC
rnacentral:rRNA from 1 species